rnacentral:sRNA from 1 species
UACUUGGAAGUAUAGGUGUGCCUUUUGU